rnacentral:rRNA from 1 species
AUUGAACGCUGGCGGCAGGCCUAACACAUGCAAGUCGAACGAGCGGCGGACGGGUGAGUAAUGUCUGGGAAACUGCCUGAUGGCGGGGGAUAACUACUGGAAACGGUAGCUAAUACCGCAUACCAUCAGAUGAACCCAUAUGGGAUUAGCUAGUAGGUAAGGUAACGGCUUACCUAGGCGACGAUCCCUAGCUGGUCUGAGAGGAUGAUCAGCCACACUGGUACUGAGACACGGCCCAGACUCCUACGGGAGGCAGCAGUGGGGAAUAUUGCACAAUGGGCGCAAGCCGGAUGCAGCCAUGCCGCGUGUAUGAAGAAGGCCUUCGGGUUGUAAAGUACUUUCAGCCGGGAGGCGUUACCGGCAGAAGAAGCACCGGCUAACUCCGUGCCAGCAGCCGCGGUAAUAC